UCGUCGGACGCCAAGCAGUUGGACGCCCAGGCCGGGUUCGAGAAAACAGUCACCGCCGUCCCGUUGCUGCUGCAAGGGACCGACAUCAUCUAUGGCGUCG
rfam:Anaerolineaceae bacterium 4572_32.2 ex4572_32.2_scaffold_17429, whole genome shotgun sequence.